rnacentral:rRNA from 1 species
UACAGAGGGGGCAAGCGUUGUUCGGAAUUACUGGGCGUAAAGGGCGCGUAGGCGGCCUGCUAAGUCGAACGUGAAAUCCCUGGGCUCAACCCAGGAACUGCGUCCGAUACUGGUUGGCUUGAAUCCGGGAGAGGGAUGUGGAAUUCCAGGUGUAGCGGUGAAAUGCGUAGAGAUCUGGAGGAACACCGAUGGCGAAGGCAGCCUUCUGGGCCAACACUGACGCUCAUGCACGAAAGCGUGGGGAGCAAACAGG